rnacentral:rRNA from 1 species
UGGGGAAUCUUGCGCAAUGGACGAAAGUCUGACGCAGCGACGCCGCGUGGGGGAUGACGGGUUUCGGCUUGUAAACCCCUGUUGCCCGGGACGAACUUCUCCUUUCGAGGAGAUUGACGGUACCGGGUGAGGAAGCACCGGCUAACUCCGUGCCAGCAGCCGCGGUAAUACGGAGGGUGCGAGCGUUGUCCGGAAUCACUGGGCGUAAAGGGCGCGUAGGUGGCGCCGCAAGUCAACGGUGAAAGCUCGACGCUUAACGUCGAGUCGGCCGUCGAGACUGCGGGGCUCGAGCACUGUAGAGGCUCAUGGAAUUCCGGGUGUAGCGGUGGAAUGCGUAGAGAUCCGGAAGAACACCGGUGGCGAAGGCGGUGAGCUGGGCAGUUGCUGACACUGAGGCGCGACAGCGUGGGGAGCAAACA